CUGUAGUUAGAGGGAAACAGUUCAGAGUGCAAGAGAGAUAGACAGUCACGGUAACGCAACUGGCAACUUUACAAGAUGGUGUUCAGUACCACACAAAUCUUUUGUAGACGAUAAACUUUAUAUUUGUUAUUUUUUAUAAUAUUCAAUUUCUGUGAAACAGAUCCUGCAAUAAGCCUAUGAAAUAGAAUAUCAUAAAAUACGAUAGGCAGCAAAUAUAAGGUAGGAUGCGCACUAGUAAACGCAAGACCUACGGCCAGCCAAGUAGUGCAGGCUCUAACCGAAAGAUUAAGAAGAACGACAUAUCAAAAAAUCAGCUUACCUACAAUUAUUAUUUUCCCGACAUUGCUAGCUCCCAGACUAUUUUACAUGAUGAACAAUUGAUGGUACUAUUAUAAAACCGCUCACACACACACACACGAAGGCAGAUAGAAUUAAAGGUUAACUUAUCUUAUUUAACAUUAAUAUUUUGAUUUAUUUAAAUCUAAUUCUAUUACAGGUAAAUGUGAUACCCUACUUUAUCUACCUAUAUAGGAGAGUUUCUUUUAUAAUUGAUAUUUUUCCCGCAGUUGUCGCUGCAGUCGCAUACCAUUUGAGUAAACAAAAAUUUAAUCAGAAUAAAACUUGACAAAAAUCACGCUAGGAGCCGAUCAAUUUAAUUAGGCUAGAUAAUUAUAUUUUCAUUAAUUAACAUUUAUAUAUUUCUGCUCCAUUUUGUUU